GAUGAACGCUGGCGGCGUGCCUAAUACAUGCAAGUCGAGCGAACAGACGAGGAGCUUGCUCCUCUGACGUUAGCGGCGGACGGGUGAGUAACACGUGGAUAACCUACCUAUAAGACUGGGAUAAUUUCGGGAAACCGGAGAUAAUACCAGAUAAUAUAUUGAACCGCAUGGUUCAAUAGUGAAAGACGGUUUUGCUGUCACUUAUAGAUGGAUCCGCGCCGCAUUAGCUAGUUGGUAAGGUAACGGCUUACCAAGGCAACGAUGCGUAGCCGACCUGAGAGGGUGAUCGGCCACACUGGAACUGAGACACGGUCCAGACUCCUACGGGAGGCAGCAGUGGGGAAUAUUCGGCAAUGGGCGAAAGCCUGAUGGAGCAACGCCGCGUGAGUGAUGAAGGUCUUCGGAUCGUAAAGCUCUGUUGUUAGGGAAGAAAAAAUGUAUAAGUAACUAUGCACGUCUUGACGGUACCUAAAGAAAAAGCCACGGCUAACUUCGUG
rnacentral:rRNA from 1 species